UACGGGGGAGCAAGCGUUGUUCGGAUUUACUGGGCGUAAAGGGCGCGUAGGCGGUCAGCACAAGUCAGUUGUGAAAUCUCCGGGCUUAACUCGGAAAGGUCAACUGAUACUGUGCGACUAGAGUGCGGGAAGGGGAGACUGGAAUUCCUGGUGUAGCGGUGAAAUGCGCAGAUAUCAGGAGGAACACCGGUGGCGAAGGCGGGUCUCUGGGCCGAUAUUGACGCUGAGGAGCGAAAGCGUGGGGAGCGAACAGG
rnacentral:rRNA from 1 species